rnacentral:rRNA from 1 species
UACGGAGGGUGCAAGCGUUAUCCGGAUUCACUGGGUUUAAAGGGUGCGUAGGCGGGCAGGUAAGUCAGUGGUGAAAUCUCCGGGCUUAACCCGGAAACUGCCGUUGAUACUAUCUGUCUUGAAUAUCGUGGAGGUAAGCGGAAUAUGUCAUGUAGCGGUGAAAUGCUUAGAUAUGACAUAGAACACCAAUUGCGAAGGCAGCUCACUAAGCAAAUAUUGACGCUGAGGCACGAAAGCGUGGGGAGCAAACAGG